GACGUAGGGCGCGAGCGUUGUCCGGAUUUAUUGGGCGUAAAGAGCUCGUAGGCGGCUCGUCGCGUCGACCGUGAAAACAGGCAGCUCAACUGUGUGCUUGCGGUCGAUACGGGCGGACUAGAGUUCGGCAGGGGAGACUGGAAUUCCCGGUGUAGCAGUGAAAUGCGUAGAGAUCGGGAGGAACAUCAGUUGCGAAGGCGGCUCUCUGGACCAGCACUGACACUGAGGCACGAAAGCGUGGGGAGCAAACAGG
rnacentral:rRNA from 1 species